GGUUGGUUUGUUUAUGUCAGGAAUCAGGUUCCAAACAAGGUCCAGAUGUUCAUAUGGUUGUUUGUCUCAAGUCUCUGUAAUUUGUAACUGUCUCCUUUCCCUUCAUCGUUCUAUUCCAUGCCUCCGGGAUGCUGCAGCGACUGAUCAUUUGUCCUGUCUAUUGUCUCACGUGCUGACCUUGUCCAAGGACCCAGUAGUUUCUUGAGUGCUGUCCUCCGGGUCCCUGAGGGUCUCUACACGAAGGUCAGGGGCUGGGCCACACGAGAAGUUCUUUAAAGUAACAUGGCCUUGUCAUAGCAUGACUUCUCAUCACGUUCUUCGGGAAGACAGAGAGCACAUUUGCAAGAUGUCACUGCUCUGGGGCAAUGUUUGUCAGUGACACAAGAGAGUCUGCAUGCUUUAGUUAUGAGCCAAGUGAGAGAACAAUACCCUGAUUAUUGAAUCAUCUGGGCAUAAAACUUAUUUUUUGUAAAUCAUGUUAAAAUGUGCUUAUCAUAGAUGGCAGGAAACAACACAGAAGCGCGUUAUCAUCAUCCUUGUUGCUAAAGAUGACCAUUGUGCGCUGUGCACUGUUCAAGUGUUCCUCAUGUGUCAAUUUACUGCAUCCUCACCCUGUGAAGGUGCCACCACUAUCCCCUUUCACAGCUGAGGAAACUGAGGCAUAAGAAGAUUAAGUAACUGUAAAACAAGUCUGUACGAUAUUUCCUCUAAGCUCGUGAAGAAUUUGUGUAGAAAACCAGCAGCAGUUCGUCAAGCCUGCAUCAUCGAUGGUAAAGGACCAGAAUGCACAGAAUGCCCCAACCAAAGUUAGGAGCAACUUGGGACCACCCAGCAUGAAGUGAUGUGCUGACAGAUUGGCUGGAUUUAGUAUGGGCAGACCCAGGUGGGCUGCAGGUGAGGAACAGCCCGGGGUGAGCAGGUAACUUGAGAGAGCACCAUCAGAGGGAAGAAGUUUAAAAAGGACAAGUCCCCAUGGCACACAGUGAACAUGAACUUGGUGCCUGGUCAUUGCUCUUGACGUCUGGUUGAGAACUAGUCAUUGAACAUGCACUCUAGCAGAACCGUCAUGCAAGCAGGCACCUUGGAUUAAAUGAGCUUCAUUCAAGAAAAUAACUUCAUUGGGCUCGGACAGUGAUGCAGAAGGGACAUGGAGAGCACGUAUCGUUAGGGUGUGUGUACGUAAGCUCUCCUUGAGGAGGUGCUUUUGAAAACACUGAGUUGACUUUAACUGUGAUAUUCAACUGAAUGUCUCCAAAUUGUGCUGCCUCCCCAGGGCAUUAAAAAAAUCCAUUCAUAA